rnacentral:rRNA from 1 species
UACGGAGGAUGCAAGCGUUAUCCGGAAUGAUUGGGCGUAAAGCGUCCGCAGGUGGCUGUGUAAGUCUGCUGUUAAAGAGUCUAGCUCAAUUAGAUACAAGCAGUGGAAACUACACGGCUAGAGUACGUUCGGGGCAGAGGGAAUUCCUGGUGUAGCGGUGAAAUGCGUAGAGAUCAGGAAGAACACCGGUGGCGAAGGCGCUCUGCUAGGCCGUAACUGACACUGAGGGACGAAAGCUAGGGGAGCGAAUGGG